rnacentral:lncRNA from 1 species
AUGCAGUAUAGGUGCAUUUAUGCUUUUUGAAAAGCACUUGUCCAUUAUGGCCUGUUUUGGUUCAAUUAAAAAAUAAAGAAGGUAAGCUAUAUACAAGAAAAGGCAUCUUUCAUUGGCAAAGCUGCAUCCACUGCUUUAGGAUUUGUAUGGGUAUAGCUGUCUGUCAUCUUUUUCAAACAAACCUUCACCCCAAAAAACACAGAGACAAAUUAGUCUUUCUAGUUUAAAUAAAGCCAGAAGUUAAAAAAACUUCUUCAGAUGGAAAGGAAAAAUAUAUGUCCUGGCUUUAUAUGGCUGUCUUUCAGACCUUCUGCUAUGGUUCUUCAAGAUGUCAGAUGAGAAACUGCCAGGGUUUCCAUUUUUCUGGACCCAAUUCUAGUUCAAACUUAGUGAUUGCAGAGGAGGAUUCAAUAAGUAGUAAACUAUGAUAGAAGCAUCAGUGUCCCUGAAACAUUUUCUACUGAUAUAGUAGCAGAACAGAAUGACGACCUAUACAACCUCAGCAAAUCCUUCUUUUAACUCAUGGGUAUCGACUAUAAAUGUUUCAUGUUAUCACAACUAGGACCUCACCUCCUUCUCCUCCUCCUCUUCCUCUGUAAAUGGGUACGAUGCAUCCAGUUCAGUUUGUUUACUUUACACAAACCUCAGGAGUUAGUUGACUGAGCUGCACAUCCUGUGUUGUGCCAAGCAGAAGCACUGUGACACCUGGACAAUGAGUCUCUCUUACUUCAUCCUCUACCAUAAGGACUUAGCUGGCCACAAUGAAUUGAUGUGCCCACCACUAUGUCAUGUUUUCUGGAGAAUCUUCCGGAUACAGUCCUCCUUCCAUUUAAGUCUGUGGAAGAGUUCACAGCAAGCAAAUUCAGUGGGAGCAAUAGCAGGACUUCAGCGUAAAAUUUAAAAAGAAAGGACCAGAAGGUUGUCUGGAAGUCAGUGCAUGCAGCAGGAUGAAGAAUUCUUCUGCGACACAGUCCUGUGCCCCACACUGGCUCUGUGCAGGUAGAAAUUCUUUUGUGCAUAGCAUUUGCAGAGCCUUAGUUCUCUGGGGAACUGGAGAAAUAAUGAGAUCCUGGACUUCCAAGUAAAAAGUUGUCUUAAGUGAUAACUGGACUUGAAGCUAUUACAGGUCCCUGUUGGUCCCUCCUCCUGCUUCUGCAAAGCAACUGUAUGGGCCUGGCCAGUACAUAUUCACAUGUUCAGUAGGAUCCAUCUUCUCAAGAAGAGGCAGGGGCUCAGAGCAGCAGCUCUCCCUGCAGGACAGCUGUUGAACCUGCAGGGAAGGGGUUUCUUUCCCCUAAGAUGUUUAAGAUGUCAGAGGUCAGGCUGCAGUUAGUGCAGCAUGCAGUUCUGACUGCAGUAUAGGUAAAGAGCCAUUGCCCAGCUAUUCUCCACCUCUCCUUUUGCUGGAGAGCAUUCUCUUAGAUCUGCUGGUAUUAUUGCACCUAUAAUCACUGUUUGUCCCUAUCAAGUAAAAAUACUAAGUUAAGAAAACAGUUAUAGCUUGAAAGUGUUUAAAUCCUUUCAGGUCACUGGGAACAAUUAUGUGAGCAGUGAUGCUGGCAGAUUUGAGAGGUGUCUCAUGGUGGGCCUGCAGCCUGAGAAGGACCUGUGACUGCUGAGGGCACUGCCUAUGGCGAUGUUGGUCUUCACCAACAGAAGGCGUCCCUCCAAAGAGGCUGGUACCAACCAGAGAAGGCUAUGAGCCUCUGCAUCCCCUUUAUAUAGGAAGGAGUAAGCUAAUCCACAGUAGGUAGUCUAUUGAUCUUGAAAAGCAUUGAUAUGUAUUUUUCUAAAGAACCAUUAACAUCUAACAAGGUAGCAUUUGGUUUAAAAAGAGAAGCCACAUACAUAUUAGCCAAGCACUUAAAUUUGUAAGUUACCCUUUUUCAUUCUCAUUUUAUUGUAAGAUCCUUCUCUUUUUCUUUUUUCAUGAGGUUCACAUAACAGUGAAAAUUUUACAUCUAUUCUGAAGUAAAAAAUAGAAACAAAGUUAAUCCUCCCAAACUAUUGCCCACAGCUUUCUCUAGCUUAACAAACUAACAUAAAUGUAUUUUGAUUUGGUUGUAGAAUGUUAGCCAGUGCUGCUGUUAAAUUAACUUGGAUAGAACAGUAUUUCAAGGCUAUUGUAGUUUGCAUUGUUUCACAUAAUUUGCAUGCUCUUAGCAAUUACUGGGAUGGAUUUGUGGGUACUGGGAGCUACUAUUAAGUGUUAAAAGGCAUUAAUGAGUUCAUUUAACCCAGAUAAAAGUUAUUUUGCACUGAUAGAUAUAUGAGCAAAUUUCAUUUAUAAAGUAUGGAAUAAAAAAAAUUGUAGAAAUAGUCA